rnacentral:tRNA from 1 species
AGUCUUAUAUUCAAAAAUGAUUUUAGACUGCAAUUCUAAAGGUGUAGAUUUAGAUUCUACUAAGACUU